UGGGGAAUUUUGGACAAUGGGCGCAAGCCUGAUCCAGCCAUGCCGCGUGCGGGAAGAAGGCCUUCGGGUUGUAAACCGCUUUUGUCAGGGAAGAAACGAGUUUCUCUAAUACAGAGACUUAAUGACGGUACCUGAAGAAUAAGCACCGGCUAACUACGUGCCAGCAGCCGCGGUAAUACGUAGGGUGCAAGCGUUAAUCGGAAUUACUGGGCGUAAAGCGUGCGCAGGCGGUUAUGCAAGACAGAGGUGAAAGCCCCGGGCUUAACCUGGGAACUGCGAUUGUGACUGCAAGGCUAGAGUGUGUCAGAGGGGGGUGGAAUUCCACGUGUAGCAGUGAAAUGCGUAGAGAUGUGGAGGAACACCGAUGGCGAAGGCAAUCCCCUGGACCUGUACUGACGCUCAUGCACGAAAGCGUGGGGAGCAAACA
rnacentral:rRNA from 1 species